ensembl:lncRNA
CUCCCUCUUCAGCAAGUCUGACAGUCACAGACUGAGCCCAUGGCUCCUGGAGUCCCUACUGAAUCCUGUCAACAAAGGGCACUGGCAGAAGAACAGAACUCAGUAGGAAGUGAGAGAGCGAGAAUGUUUCCUCCCCUUCUCCUUCCACCUUGGCCAGCAUCUCCUGCAGAACCUGUGUGUUCCCUGUGGCUGCCGCUGCCCUCAGUAUGACUCACCAAGGAAAAGACUGGAGGAUCUGAAGAAGAGUUGCUGGCAUCAACGGCUGUAAACUCCUUCCUCCAUGCCAUAAAGUUAAAGGCAGAGCCUUGAGAGGAACACAUCUCAAGGAUGUGUGGAAAUGAUUUCCUUCUUCGGAGUCCUUGCUAUCUCCCGGAGUCCAGGUUUCUUCGGAUUCGACAGGCAGAAGGCUGCCAGGUCACUAAGGUCAGCCUAAGCCACUGGUUACGUAUGGUUGUGAGACCUGGACCGUAAAGAAGGCUGCGUGCCAAAGAAUUGAUGCCUUUGAACUUUGAUGCUGGAGAAGACUCCUGAGAGUCCGUUGGACAGCAAGAAGAUCAAACAAGUCAAUCUUAAGGGAAAUCAACUCUGCACACUCAUUGGAAGGACUGAUGCUGAAGCUACAGUGUUUUGGUCACCUGAUGCGAACAGCCAACUCAUUGGAAAAGUCCCUGAUGCUGGGAAAGAUUGAGGGCAGAAGGAGAAAGGGGUGUCAGAGGAUGCAAUGGCUGGAUGGCAUCACUGACACAAUGGAUGUGAACUUGGGCAAACUUCGGAAGAUGGUGAGGGACAGGGAGGCCUGGUGUGCUACAGUCCAUGGAGUCACAAAGAGUCAGACAUGUGUGACUAAACAACAAGCCAUAGUGAUCUCAUUCUGCUCUGAAUUAACACCACUUCCUCUCUGGUUAUCUAAUGUUAGUACUAGUUUAUAAAUGUUCAUAGUAAGUGGUAAUUAUUACUGAUGUUUGCGGUGACUUGAACAAUGGUGGAAUAAUUAACACAAAUAAAUUAUGGCUAGUUUUAAAGGACAUAUGAAUGGUUAGUUAUAGAAGAUAUCUGGCUCUCUGGCUAUCAGGAAAGAGAUUGAGGAGUUAUUUGAAGAUACAAUUACCGAACUCUUUUGGCAAAGACAUCAGAAGUAGGACUGGAGACAAAGAUACUCCAAGAUACUGUUUAGCUUAAAC